GACGCCCAGACCUUCGUUAAAUUAUAAAAGUUGGAAAUUUUUCUAUAUACGUCUCCUAUACAGGUAUAAGCAAACCCAGAUUAUUAAACCUGGGUCGCGGUGGCUUUGGCAGGUAACAGGUAGUAAAGACAGUUUCGAUGGUUCCCCUAUCUUCCCAGACAUAAUGAAGUCCACUCCAGGCGUGAGCGCGAUGAAUAUAUAUGUACGUUGGUGCGAGUGAAAUAGCGCGAUUGGUCUACGGCGAUCUUUUUCUGCGCAUCAGCUGUCUUAUACUCUGUAUAAUACUCCGUAUUGUAUAUUAUUGUAGUGUGAACUGUUAUACGUACAGCAAGCGUUUAAUAAUUUAUUUGCAAAAUUUAUUAUAAAAUAAGUGGUCUAGUUGUGAUAAAGUGUUGUCAUGGAAACGGAGGAACCGGAAAGAAACAAAUUAAGUUGUUUUAUUUGUAAGAAAAGUGAGGGGAAAUUAAUAUUGCUUUCUGAAGAGACAUUAAAGAAGUGCCGAACUGUUUUGAAAGUCAGAAAAAAACACAACCUUAAAUAUGCGAAUGUUAUUUUGCCUGAUGAAUAUACAGAUGGAGGUUAUCACCGGGAAUGCCAUAAAACAUUCACAGGCGUUAAUAAACAGUACUACAAUUCGGAGCCUGCAGAUUUAAAAAAGAAAAAAAGAGUAAACAAAGAGUCGAUCAGUGUAGACAAUUUAUCUCCAGAUACACCGAUAGUACCUGAGUUCACUACCGAACUCGCAACAAAAUCUUCAACAUCAUCAGAACAAAAUUUAUAUUCUGAAUUGAUAAAGCUCCAGCCUUCAACCUCCACAGAACAAUCUCAUUUACCGCCUCAACAUACAGAACCUUCAACAAUUUCACAAUCGACUUUAGCUAGUGAAUCAGAGGUCUUACAAUCGACAAGUUAUCAAAAAAAUGGUGACAUUAGUACACCAGAUGUUACUGAAGUAAACAAUGUAAUUGAGGACGUAAAUACUCAACCCGAAAAUGUUGUCAGUAGUAAUGACUCUCCGAUUGUUUGUAUAUUUUGUAAUAAACGAAGAAGAAAGUGCGCUCAAAAAUGCUUCCACUUCAUGCAGCUGAAACAAACCAAUUUAAAGGUAGUAUUUUUUCUAACAUUGAAGGUUUAGAAGAAUAUAACGAGUUUUCAACUACAUUGAAUAAUUACUCUGCUCCAAAAAUAUAUUAUCAUACUGAUUGUCGAGUUCAUUUUAACAAUGAUGUGUCGUCUAAAAAAAAAUCAUCUAGUAAAAGUCAUUGGCAUUACAAUCGAGAGUAUCACAGACAAGUUUUUGACGAAAUUGGCAGCAUUAUCGAAGAAGAUAUUAUUAAAAAGGGACGAUGUUAUUUUUUAAUAUAUUUACAUGAACUGUAUAAAGAGUCAUUGGAAAAAAUUUAUCAAGAUAAUUCCGUUGAAAUGAACUUUGUUUUCACAGCACACCAUCUCGAAGAAAAAAUUAUGAAAGUAUAUUCUGAAGAUAUAAAAUUUUUUACUAUUCGAAAUAAAAAAAUUGUUGCACCUAAAUAUUUACAAUCAAUAGAUAAAACAGUCCUCGACAGCUUACACACAGAAAAUAUUUUACAGAAGUCCGCAUUACUUUUAAGGAAACUAAUUCUGAAAAUUGAAAAAAAUAAAUUACCUUCAAUGUGAGGUACGUGAAUCUAACAAAGAUACACGCCCAGUUAGGAGAAUCCAUUUGCCGAAGCUUGCCUGGUUUCCACGCAAUAACAGGGUGCGAUUACAAUCCGGCAUUAUUUAGAAAGGGAAAACUAAGACCUUACAAACUAUUAAAAAAAAAACGAUGAAUUCCAAAAAGUUUUUAUAAAGUUCGGCGAAAAUAAGUUAAUAGAGGACAGCAGUGAACAGAAGAACAUUUUCAAUAGUAUUCAGAAAUAUAUAUGCAGUGUAUAUAAUGUUCGGAAUGCAAUUGAUGUCAAUUCUGCUCGAGUUCAGAUGUUUAUAGACUCAUACAAAGUUUCCGACAUUAAUGAGGCUUUCAAUCGAAAAAAAUUGAGAAACUUUGAUGCUAGCAGUUUACCACCUUGUGAAAAUGAGCUACUACAGCAUUUUUUACGAGCUAAUUAUAUUUGUACGAUUUGGAACAAUGCUCACUUAAGAAAACCUACUUCACAUAAACCUGAAAAUAAUGGCUGGGUACUGGAAAAUGAUCAAUACCAUUUUAAAUGGUUUGAAGGAGAUCAGCUACCUACUUAUGUCAGUGAUUCUCUACAAACUUUGUCAGAAGCUGAUGAAGACGAUGACAUUCAUGAGGACAAAUCCGCAGAAUGGAGUAGCGGUGAUGAAGAUAAUCGAGAUACCGACGAGGACGAUGAAGUUGAUUAAAUAUUUUUUUUUGAUUUAAUAAUAAUGUUUGACACAUUAUAUUUUUACUUUGUAUUGUAAUGGCUAUAAUUAUAAAUAUAAUUGAAAUCUUUUUCGAUUGGUUCAA